CCUCCUUUCUAAGGAUGAUAUCUCGAUCAACGGCCCUCACGGUCGUUUCUUGAUAUCUCUUUUUACAUCGGCGAUUUUGUCGCCGCCUUCGUUUCCCUUUCUUUUCCGUCGUCUUUCAAUUCGAACCGUGGGAUAUGCGUGCGGAUCUUAGAAUUGAAUUGUCGCGUAAUUUUUGGCGAAGUGGCCCCAGCUUGAUCGAAUUGUUUUCGAGCGCUCUUUUUGGGCUCGUAGCUCAGGUGGUUAGAGCGCACGCCUGAUAAGCGUGAGGUCGGACGUUCAAGUCGUCCCGGGCCCACCACUUGACCGAUGCACUUGGAUUAGAUGCCCGGCAGGUGUCCGUUCAUGUAAUGGAUUGCCGGUGAGUGCGGCCAAUGAGAUUUGGGGCCGUACCUCAGUUGGGAGAGCGCGAGCUUUGCAAGCUUGAGGUCGUCGGUUCGAUCCCGAUCGGCUCCACCAUUAUUAAAUGGCGUUUUGAAAAAGAUGAUUCGAAGCGAAGCCGAAAAGAUCUCCACUCAAAUGUUUU
rnacentral:tRNA from 1 species